AUGUUAAAUCCAGCAGUUUCCCUGGCAGAGGAAACCUUCAACAGGGUGCUGGACAUGAAUCUCUUCAUUUAUGUUCUCCUUUUAUCAAUUUGGACAAAUAGUUGUUUAUAUAGAAACGAAAGCAAUGGAUCUGCUACUGCAGUAGCUACACCAGUUGAAUCCAGGCAGAGAAGAAUCAAAGCAGUACAGCAAUGGCUACUCAUUUUCUUAACUGUUAUCCUCAUCAUCUGCUUUAUUUUAAGAUGUUAUUGUUUCAUUCACUACAGUUGUGUGGACAUGGAUGCCUCUAAAGCAGCAACGGUCAAGAAAGAAGACAGAACCAAAGCAUCCACAUCAUAUAAAAUAUCAUUCACUGAGUCCAAGUCACCAACUGCUGGUCCAGGCAAUCCAGAGAAACAACCAUUGCUAUCUAGUAUAGAUAAGUCAUCUGGGCCCUCAAGUCCACAAAAAGCCUCUGUACCUUCAAGUACAGAAAAGUUAGUCAGGCCCUCGAGUCAACAAAACCCAUCCAAACCAUCAGAUCCCAAAAAAGUGUUAGGAUCAAUGCCUCAGGAAAAGUUGCAUAGAACACGCAGUCCAAAAAAGGCACAUAGGUGGGCUCAUGCCCAUAAGCUAGUCGAUCAGGUCAGUCCAGCCUAUCCAAAGAAAGCCAUCAAACCAACUUGGCCAUCAAGUCUACAAUGUCCGGUCAAGCCAAUCAAAAUGUCUCCACCUUAUCCAAAGAGUCAAAGUGUUCCUAAGCAAUCAAGUAUAGCAAAACUGACCAAACUCCAGAGAUAUCUUAAACUAAAAAGACCAACUAGUGAAGGUAGGGCAGAAAUAUUAUCUAGGCCUCAACCAGUGAAGUUUUGUCAAUGCUACAAGGAAAAAUGCAUUGUUUGCAAUGCUGUUUCUGAGCCAUUCAUCACUCCUUCAGAAGAGAAUAUGAAGUAUGUUCCAGUUCCACUUUCUUCAUGCAAACUGAAGUGCUUUUACAAGUCAUCUUACAAGACAGAGCCCAAAGACAAUGCACUGUAUGGCAACAUGAAUGAUAGCCAAUUGUCAACAUACAGCAGUGAUAGUGAGAGUGACAGGGAGAUGAUUAUUAUGCGCAAUAUAAAAUGCAAGGAAGCCACCUAUAAAACCUCCUAA
rnacentral:lncRNA from 1 species